UGGACUAUCGCCAAGUGGUAAGGCAUCGGUUUCUGACACCGACAUUCGCAGGUUCGAAUCCUGCUAGUCCAGCCA
rnacentral:tRNA from 1 species